rnacentral:rRNA from 1 species
CCAGGAGUUGUAUUUCGACUCCUAGUCUAGAACUUGCACUCCUCCACGUAGACACUUCGGGAUCCUUACAGAGAAUAUAAAUGUUAAAACUAAGUUUUUGUACGAACCCGCCGGAGAUGAGCGCACAAAAAGGGUUCCCCUGUUUCCAACCUCCCACCCGUGUUUAUCGUACCCUGUUGCUUCGGUGCCCCCGCCUCACGGCCGCCGGGGGGCUUCUGCCCCCGGGUCCGCGCGCACCGGAGACACUAUUGAACUCUGUCUGAAGAUUGCAGUCUGAGCAUAAACUAAAUAAGUUAAAACUUUCAACAACGGAUCUCUUGUUCCGGCAUCGAUGAAGAACGCAGCGAAAUGCGAUAACUAAUGUGAAUUGCAGAAUUCAGUGAAUCAUCGAGUCUUUGAACGCACAUUGCGCCCCCUGGUAUUCCGGGGGGCAUGCCUGUCCGAGCGUCAUUGCUGCCCUCAAGCACGGCUUGUGUGUUGGGCUCCGUCCCCCCGGGGACGGGUCCGAAAGGCAGCGGCGGCACCGAGUCCGGUCCUCGAGCGUAUGGGGCUUUGUCACCCGCUCUGUAGGCCCGGCCGGCGCCAGCCGACAACCAAUCAUCCUUUUUUCAGGUUGACCUCGGAUCAGGUAGGGAUACCCGCUGAACUUAAGCAUAUCAAUAAGCGGAGG